CGGCGGACGGGUGAGUAACGCGUGGGGAACCUGCCCUAUACAGGGGGAUAACAGUUAGAAAUGACUGCUAAUACCGCAUAAGCGCACGGAGCCGCAUGGCCCUGAGUGAAAAACGAUAGUGGUAUAGGAGGGACCCGCGUCUGAUUAGGUAGUUGGUGGGGUAACGGCCCACCAAGCCGACGAUCAGUAGCCGACCUGAGAGGGUGACCGGCCACAUUGGGACUGAGACACGGCCCAAACUCCUACGGAAGGCAGCAG
rnacentral:rRNA from 1 species